UACAGAGGGGGCAAGCGUUGUUCGGAAUUACUGGGCGUAAAGGGCGCGUAGGCGGCCUGUUAAGUCGAACGUGAAAUCCCCGGGCUCAACCCGGGAACUGCGUCCGAUACUGGCAGGCUUGAAUUCGGGAGAGGGAUGUGGAAUUCCAGGUGUAGCGGUGAAAUGCGUAGAUAUCUGGAGGAACACCGGUGGCGAAGGCGGCAUCCUGGACCGAUAUUGACGCUAAUGCGCGAAAGCCAGGGGAGCAAACGGG
rnacentral:rRNA from 1 species